CAAAGGGGAAGAAGCCUUCGUCGCCACUGGGGGAGGCGCCCCCCGAGAGCAGCCCUGACGGGAAGCUUGGCCCUUCCGGGGAGCUCAUGGUGCCUUCGGCAUCUGUGGGCACAGGUGUCCAAGCCCAGCCCUACCGCGGGACCCAGUAGUCGCCCUCGUCCCAGCGCAGCGACGACCGGGGACCGGGAGUCUCCGUGACGAGGCCCCUGUGGGCGCGACCCCGCUCUGGAGACCCAGGAGCGUCCCUCUUCCUCCCGCCUCCGCGCAUCGAGCUGCUGUCUAGCACGUCGGCCCGGGCGUGUGCCCCCCCCCCCCGCCCCCGGCUCCUCGACCCCCCGGCCCGAGGCGGCCACCUUCCCCCCCUUGCCGGCGCCCCCCCCCUUGCCGACCCCAGGACUCGGCACCCGCCACCCUCGGCGCCCGCUCGUCCUGGCCCUGUCCUGCCCGAAACUCGAAGGGCGCCCGCGUCCGGCGCCCCUACGCUCCUACCCGCCGACUCCGGGCUCCCUCCGAGGUCCCCGCGGUCCCCGAUCCCCUCUUCCGGAGGCGGCGCCAGGUGCCAGGCCCGCACAGGUGAGGGGGCGGUGCCGCGGGCGGGCCUGGGGCGCCCCCUGGUGGCGGGAAUGGCCGGGCGGCGCUGAAGGGGAGUCCGCUCCUUUCCCCUGGCAACCGCCCUGUGGGAUAGGGAAUCGCUAAGAAUGACAACAGCAAGGACACAUCUGACCUACCGAGCACUCUGCUAAGUAAGCUCUUUUAUAGGCACAGCUUGCUUACUUUUAUGACACCCUAACGAGGCACGAACUCCCAUUAGCCCUCUUUUACAGACGAGGAAACUGAGGCUGAGGGAGGCUGUAGCUCGCUUGGGUUCACACCGACAGAACUUGAAUGUGAACCACAGAAGUGUGACUUCAGGGCGCGUGCUCCUGCCCUGGUUCCCGUGGGGCUGGGAACCUGGGGUCUCCCUUUCGAGGUUGCACGAGACUCGACCCCACGCUCCAGGCCAGGGCCAGAGGCCUCGGUAUGGACACCAGGAGGAUCCAGGGCCGGACUCAGCCCAGUGCGGCUCGGACAUGUGGGGGACGCCCCGGCCACGGCCUCGUGUCCUGUCACGAGCCUCCUCAGGUGUCCGGGGCUCCCUGCGCCGCUGUGGCGGAGGCUCCUGGCCUGGGGAGCGGGGACACGCCGGGCGCUGGAAGAGCAGUGGGCUGGGAACUGCUCAACAGCAGGCUUUCUGGGGAAACAGAAAGCCCCAGAUGGUUGCACGCGGCACUUUCUGGGGUAGAAGCGCUCCCUCCGUGGCUGAUGUCCAGCUACCGACGUGACAUUGUUGAAUGUGAAGUUGGGCCGAGAUGUGCAUUAUUGGCGUUUAUCAGCUGGUCCCAGCUGCGUCGCACGCCCCUCUGGCUGGCGGCCAGGACUCCUGGGUCCUGGGGACGGGAUCCUAAAGAAAUCAGAGGAAGGUGGCUUCUGGGAAAACGGGGGCAAGGACUCGUGGGAGGCGUGGUCUAGAGGCUGGGACUCCCGAGUCCCAGAUUUGGCUUCAGGCCAAAUCCCAGAUUGGCCACAUUUUAGCUGUGCGCACCUGUGUCGUUUAGCUGAUGGACCUCUGCUGCCCUCGCCUUUCCCAUCUGUAAAACGGGGGAGAUAAGAGUUCCUAGCUUAUAGGGAGGCUUAAAUAAGGGUCAAGCGCCAGCACUUCAUCCUGCUAGGGGCCCUCUGAGUGGCCGUAGCCGGGCCAUAGAAGUGACUCACCACACACGUUCCAGUGUUUUCCUCCUCACGGCCACCCUGACGUCAUAUCCUUCGCAGACCAGAAGCCAGCUCAGGGAGGCCCAGUGAUCUGCCCGUGCAACUUGACAUCAUCAGACUUUUAAAUUUCUGCCAGUCGGGGGGCACCUGGUCACUCUUUGGACGUUUGCAGGAGCCCCCUGCUUCCUCUAGACCCAGGAACUCUGGCCUCCAGCUGUCCUGAUGGACCGGAGGGCUGACUUCACAGGCCCCCCGCUGCCCUCCCCCAGCCUCCCUGCUGAUUCCAGCAGGAAAAUGGAUAGCAGGGACAGAGGGGCCCCAGGGACGCCCUAGCCGGGCUGGGAUAUAACCAGUUAAGGGAGGGAAAGACAACCCAGCCCUCAAACAAGCCAGUUUCCUGGAGCCUCCGGGCUCACUCUCACCCUAGAACUUUCUCCCCACCUUCCCAACAGCAGGUGGGCCCCUACAGUGCCCAAUCUUGGCUCCAGGGUCCCCUCGCAGAGCUGUGGGCGGUCCACGCUGGCAUCCAGAGGCCCAAAGAAUGCCCCCUGCCAUAGAGGUAACCCCGUGGGAACGGUGCGGAUCCAGACCAAGGUGCCUCCGGGCUUUUACGACAUAUACAAAGUCUGUGAACAGUAAGCGGUAUUGUUUGGAGCAUUUUAAACCUCUGUAUAAAAUACUGCACACUCAA